rnacentral:rRNA from 1 species
GGAUGAACGCUGGCGGCGUGCCUAAUCCAUGCAAGUCGAGCGAACAGAUGAGGAGCCUGCUCCUCUGACGUUAGCGGCGGACGGGUGAGUAACACGUGGAUAACCUACCUAUAAGACUGGGAUAACUUCGGGAAACCGGAGCUAAUACCGGAUAAUAUAUUGAACCGCAUGGUUCAAUAGUGAAAGACGGUUUUGCUGUCACUUAUAGAUGGAUCCGCGCCGCAUUAGCUAGUUGGUAAGGUAACGGCUUACCAAGGCAACGAUGCGUAGCCGACCUGAGAGGGUGAUCGGCCACACUGGAACUGAGACACGGUCCAGACUCCUACGGGAGGCAGCAGUAGGGAAUCUUCCGCAAUGGGCGAAAGCCUGACGGAGCAACGCCGCGUGAGUGAUGAAGGUCUUCGGAUCGUAAAACUCUGUUAUUAGGGAAGAACAAAUGUGUAAGUAACUAUGCACGUCUUGACGGUACCUAAUCAGAAAGCCACGGCUAACUACGUG